rnacentral:rRNA from 1 species
UCGGGAAUAUUGCACAAUGGGCGAAAGCCUGAUGCAGCGACGCCGCGUGAGCGAAGAAGGCCUUCGGGUCGUAAAGCUCUGUCCUAUGGGACGAUAAUGACGGUACCAUAGGAGGAAGCCCCGGCUAACUACGUGCCAGCAGCCGCGGUAAUACGUAGGGGGCGAGCGUUGUCCGGAAUGACUGGGCGUAAAGGGUACGUAGGCGGCCAGGUAAGUCAGGUGUGAAAGUCUAGGGCUCAACCCUAGUGAGCACUUGAAACUGCUUGGCUUGAGUCGAGGAGAGGAAGGUGGAAUUCCUGGUGUAGCGGUGAAAUGCGUAGAUAUCAGGAGGAACACCAGUGGCGAAGGCGGCUGCCUGGGGAGUCCCUGACGCUGAGGCGCGAAAGCUAGGGGAGCAAACAGG